UACGGGGGGAGCAAGCGUUGUUCGGAUUUACUGGGCGUAAAGGGUGCGUAGGCGGGUCUUUAAGUCAGGGGUGAAAUCCUGGAGCUCAACUCCAGAACUGCCUUUGAUACUGAAGAUCUUGAGUUCGGGAGAGGUGAGUGGAACUGCGAGUGUAGAGGUGAAAUUCGUAGAUAUUCGCAAGAACACCAGUGGCGAAGGCGGCUCACUGGCCCGGUACUGACGCUGAGGUGCGAAAGCGUGGGGAGCAAACAGG
rnacentral:rRNA from 1 species